CAUCACAGCAGCCGUGUGCAGAAGGUCAGAGGUCAUUUGGAUGGGCUUGACCAGAGCUCGGAUGACAAAGAAAGGGUGAAAUUAUGGGCUUCUCUGGCCAAGACUGCCCGGAAACAGGAGGUGUUCGACGUGUGUCGGGCGGCCUGCCGCUUCUGUCUGCUUUAUGAUGACGGACGAUGGAAAACCACGAGCUCCACGGGUUGUGAUCGUCCAGAUCAGAAGAAGCAGACUGACCCGAGCACACAGAGAGAUCUGCUGCGUCUGCUGGCCGAGGUCCACUUCCUCCACGCUGAGGUAACAGUCCUCAAACUCCGCUCCGAGGGGGUGGAGCUAAACGGCUCUGCCGUAGCACCUGAUGAAAAACAGACACGCCCACCUGAAGGCGACGCCCACUGGAACCUGUACAGUGAUUGGAUCAAGGAUUUAU